rnacentral:SRP_RNA from 1 species
GCCGGGCACAGUGGCACGUGCCUGUAGUCCCAACUACUCGGGAGGCUGAGGCUGGAGGAUCGCUUGAGCCCAGGAGUUCUGGGCUAUAGUGCACUGUGCCGCUCGGGUGUCUGCACUAAGUUUGGCAUCAAUAUGGUGACCUCCCGGGAGCGGAGGACCACCAGGUUGCCUAAGGAGGAUUGAGCCAGCCCAGGUCGGAAGCAGAGCAGAUCAAAACUCCCGUGCUGAUCAGUAGUGGGAUCGCGCCUGUGAAUAGCCACUGCUCUCCAGCCUGGAAAACAUAGCUAGACCCCAUCUCU